AUGAACCCCUCCUCGGCCCCGGGCCCGGAUGGCCUGCCCGUUAUGUUCUUCAAAACGUUCUGGCAGACCAUCAAGCCGGAUGUCAUGGCCCUAUUCGAGGAGUUCUAUUCGGGCUCUAUGGAUCUUGGACGUCUGAACUACGUGAUCGUUACCCUCAUCCCCAAGGUUCCGGGCGCUUCCGAUAUCCGCCAGUUUUGUCCCAUCACAGUGAUUAAUGUGAUAUUCCGGAUCCUGGCCAAAGGGUACGCUAAUAGGGUGACCCUGCUAGCUGACUCGAUCACUCACCCGAACCAAUCGGCCUUCAUUCAAGGCCGGUUUAUUCUGGAUGGAGUGUUGGUUUUCCACGAAGUCCUUCACGAAGUCCGGGUGAAGCACCUGUUGGGGAACGUAGUAAUUUCAAAAAAAUUUCCUACGUACACGCAAGAUCAUGGUGAUGGCAUAGCAACGAGAGGGGAUAGUGUUGUCCACGUACCCUCGUAG
rnacentral:rRNA from 1 species